AAAAAGCCCAUUUGUGAUGUAGCCCAUUGCAGCUGGAUGAACAAAUCUAGCUCUAUAAAUAAUGAUGCUCUAUACAAUAUAAGAUUCCACACAAUUGAGAAAGCCGCAGCUAGGUCAAAAACUCCCCGCCUCCAUAGAUUCGCAGUAUGGCAUCUCCAAAUCUGAGUGCUACUGCUGCUAGUUCUAUCAUGUUAUUUUGAGUGUAAUAGACCUUUAAUGUCUCUAUGUUGAAUUAGAAUAUCUAUUUUGUAAUUUAUUUUGCACUAUUAUUAUUUAUUAAAAAAAAUAGUUAAAACGUA